GCCCCUGUCAUCUAGAGGUUAGGAUACCAGAUUUUCAUUCUGGGAACAUCGGUUCAAUUCCGUUCGGGGGUA
rnacentral:tRNA from 1 species